GGGGGUAUAGCUCAGCUGGGAGAGCGCUUCGCUGGCAGCGAAGAGGUCAGGGGUUCAAAUCCCCUUACCUCCACCA
rnacentral:tRNA from 1 species